GCGCGGGUGGCUUAGUCGGUUAGAGCACCCGGCUGAUAACCGGGAGGUCGCAGGUUCAAGUCCUGCCUCGCGCAC
rnacentral:tRNA from 2 species